GGGGAAUAUUGCACAAUGGGGGAAACCCUGAUGCAGCAACGCCGCGUGGAGGAUGACGCACUUCGGUGUGUAAACUCCUUUUAUAAGGGAAGAUAAUGACGGUACCUUAUGAAUAAGCACCGGCUAACUCCGUGCCAGCAGCCGCGGUAAUACGGAGGGUGCAAGCGUUACUCGGAAUCACUGGGCGUAAAGGAUGCGUAGGCUGGAGAUCAAGUCGAGAGUGAAAUCCAACGGCUCAACCGUUGAACUGCUCUCGAAACUGACGACCUAGAAUAUGGGAGAGGUAGAUGGAAUUGGUGGUGUAGGGGUAAAAUCCGUAGAUAUCACCAGGAAUACCGAUUGCGAAGGCGAUCUACUGGAACAUUAUUGACGCUGAGGCAUGAAAGCGUGGGGAGCAAAC
rnacentral:rRNA from 1 species